rnacentral:rRNA from 1 species
GAUGAACGCUGGCGGCGUGCUUAACACAUGCAAGUCGAACGGAAAGGCCCAAGCUUGCUUGGGUACUCGAGUGGCGAACGGGUGAGUAACACGUGGGUGAUCUGCCCUGCACUUCAGGAUAAGCCUGGGAAACUGGGUCUAAUACCGGAUAGGACGAUGGUUUGGAUGCCAUUGUGGAAAGUUUUUUCGGUGUGGGAUGAGCUCGCGGCCUAUCAGCUUGUUGGUGGGGUAAUGGCCUACCAAGGCGUCGACGGGUAGCCGGCCUGAGAGGGUGUACGGCCACAUUGGGACUGAGAUACGGCCCAGACUCCUACGGGAGGCAGCAGUGGGGAAUAUUGCACAAUGGGCGCAAGCCUGAUGCAGCGACGCCGCGUGGGGGAUGACGGCCUUCGGGUUGUAAACUCCUUUCGCUAGGGACGAAGCGUUUUUGUGACGGUACCUGGAGAAGAAGCACCGGCUAACUACGUG